rnacentral:tRNA from 1 species
UUUUAUAUAGUUUAAUUAAAACAUUACAUUUUCAUUGUAACAAUAAUAAUAAUACACAACUUAUUUAUAAAUU